rnacentral:rRNA from 1 species
ACGGGAGGCAGCAGCUAAGAAUAUUCCGCAAUGGACGAAAGUCUGACGGAGCGACGCCGCGUGGAUGAUGAAGGCCGGAAGGUUGUAAAAUCCUUUUAUACCAGAGGAAUAAGCGGGGUGAGGGAAACGCCCUGUGGUGACUGUAGGGUAUGAAUAAGCACCGGCUAAUUACGUGCCAGCAGCCGCGGUAACACGUAAGGUGCAAGCGUUGUUCGGAAUUAUUGGGCGUAAAGGGCAUGUAGGCGGUCUGGCAAGCUUGGAGUGAAAUCCCGGGGCUCAACUCCGGAACUGCUUUGGGAACUGCCAGACUGGAAUCGCUGAAGGGGAGCCGGAAUUCCAGGUGUAGGGGUGAAAUCUGUAGAUAUCUGGAAGAACACCAAUGGCGAAGGCAGGCUUCUGGCAGACGAUUGACGCUGAGGUGCGAAGGUGCGGGGAGCAAACAGGAUUAGAUACCCUGGUA